GAGGUGGGAGACAGUGGGGUAUGUACUUAAUGUAUAUAAAUAAAUCUAUAACUUUGUAUUAUAACUCAUCAUUUCGUACUACGUCCUUUUCAUAGGAUGUGAAAGUACCUAAUGAGACGUGGAGGUCCACAUGUAUGACAAUCUCCUCUUGACCCCUUCCCGUGUUGCCUGAGAGGGCAAUGGCUAGUAGAGUAGUUGAUUAGUUUCAGGGGCUCUUUUGUGGGUAUUAGGGUAAAUGCUUUUAAAAUAUAUACUCAUGUUUUUUACUUCCUUAUUAUAGUA
rnacentral:lncRNA from 1 species